rnacentral:lncRNA from 1 species
UUGAAGGUUGGAGCUCGAAGAACAUAGGGUUUGCGUCGGCACAAGUUAAGUUGAAAAACUUAUGAUCAGUUAGAAGCUGAUACUUGAAAGGUUAAAUUCUUUAUUCUUUAGCUAAAUAUUUCUAUGUCACUACUUCUACCUAAUCUCUACCAAACAUUACUUUUGAAGUAACUCCACCAUGCAACUUAAUAAAAUUAAAGAUUAGCUACUAACCCUAUCAUGAAAUUAUUUAGAGUUGAGGUAGAGGUACGGACCUAGGAAAUAGAAAUUGGGACAGUGAACAAAAUAUAGUUUGAUGAUUGUUAAUUAGAAAUAUAAAAUUUAUUAAACUCUAAUUUAUUAAAAAUGGUAUGUGCUUGAAGAUUGGAGCUCGAAGAACAUAAGAUUUGCCUCGGCACAUGUUAAGUUGAAGAACUGAUCAUCAGUUAGAAACCGAUACUUGAAAAGCUAAGUUGUCUAUUCUUGAGCUAAACAUAACUUUUUUUAUUUUCUUGUUUUGUUAACUUUCUCAUUUUCUAUUUCUAUGUUAGCACUUCUACCUCAUCUCUACCAAACAUUACGUUUGAAGUAACUCCACCAUGGAACUUAAUAAAAUUAAAGAUUAGCUACUAACCGUAUCAUGAAAUUAUUUAGAGUUGAGGUAGAGGUACG